UGCGGACACAUCACGUUGAAACACCGUUUCCCGUAAAAUCAGCGAAGUUAAGCAACGUCGAACCUGGUCAGUACGUAGAUGGGUGACCGCUUGUGAUUUGCGGGUGGUGUA